UUAUCAGGCCACAAAAACCUGAAGGUUAACACAGAAUGUUUAUAUAGUCCUGUCUCUACCUACUUUGUGAAAACUAUGAUCUUCUCAAAUUCCUCCUACUUCUGAGAUUCCUUAGGGAGAAUUUUAUUUGUGCCUCCAAAGGUACCCACAAAUGCCUUUUUCAUGUCCUGCUUUUUCAGAUGUUUCAUUGCCAAAUUGCCAUUUCUUGGCAGUCAAGAAAAAUGUACUGAGCUGGUCAUGAUCCUAGUUGUAAUAAACAAAGCAGUGUUCCUUUUCUCCAAGGAGCUUACAUUCUCAAGUGACACAUACAUAUAUAAGUAAGAUAAUGCAAAUACUGAGAAAAAUUAUGAAGAUCAACAAAAUACUAAAUUAGCAAACCAAAUUCAGCAACAUAUUAAAAGAAUUAUACAUCAUGAAUGAGUGAAAUUUAUUCCUGGAAUGUACGAAUGGUUUAACAACUCACCUUCCUUAAUACAGGAAAAAGCAGUUGAAAAAUUCGAUAUACUUUCACAAUAAAAUAAACUCAUAAGGCCGGGCACAGUGGCUCAUGCCUGUAAUCCCAGCAGUUUGGGAG
rnacentral:lncRNA from 1 species